UGGAUCCAGACUUUGAUUCUGGCUCAGGAUGAACGCUAGCUACAGGCUUAACACAUGCAAGUCGAGGGGAAACGACAUCGAAAGCUUGCUUUUGAUGGGCGUCGACCGGCGCACGGGUGAGUGACGCGUAUCCAACCUGCCCACCACUUGGGGAUAACCUUGCGAAAGUAAGACUAAUACCCAAUGACGUCUCUAGAAGACAUCUGAAAGAGAUUAAAGAUUUAUCGGUGAUGGAUGGGGAUGCGUCUGAUUAGCUUGUUGGCGGGGUAACGGCCCACCAAGGCGACGAUUAGUAGGGGUUCUGAGAGGAAGGUCCCCCACAUUGGAACUGAGACACGGUCCAAACUCCUACGGGAGGCAGCAGUGAGGAAUAUUGGUCAAUGGACGAGAGUCUGAACCAGCCAAGUAGCGUGCAGGAUGACGGCCCUAUGGGUUGUAAACUGCUUUUAUAAGGGAAUAAAGUGAGUCUCGUGAGACUUUUUGCAUGUACCUUAUGAAUAAGGACCGGCUAAUUCCGUGCCAGCAGCCGCGGUAAUACGGAAGGUCCGGGCGUUAUCCGGAUUUAUUGGGUUUAAAGGGAGCGUAGGCCGGAGAUUAAGCGUGUUGUGAAAUGUAGACGCUCAACGUCU
rnacentral:rRNA from 1 species